rnacentral:rRNA from 1 species
CGCAGCCAGCUGCGAUACGUAGUGCGAAUUGCAGACACAUUGAGCACUAAAAUUUCGAACGCACAUUGCGCCAUCGGGUUCAUUCCCGUUGGCACGUCUGGCUGAGGGUCGAAUUGCUAACUACAACGUACGUGCGGCUGGCACGUUCUGUCGGUGCGCUAGCCACUGCUGUGGCUACCGUACUCAGGGAAAAUUGUGCAAUGGUGGUACACUCCGGUGUGCGGUCGUGCGUUUGGGCCUACAUGUGUGUGCGUGUGCGCGCGUACUUGUACGCAAACGCAUCAUAUAUAGGCGCGACUUCCACCAGCAAUGCGAGCAGUAUGCGACGACGUACGUUCGUCGACCUGCGAGGUGCACCCGAGAGCUACUGGGGAGCACGUGUAGCGGCGUCGAUGUGCGCUUGAAUGAACGUACGUACGAGGCGAUGCUCUCGGUCCGUAUGCGCUUUUGACCUCAGCUCAGUCGUGAGUACCCGCUGAAUUUAAGCAUAUAACUA